rnacentral:rRNA from 1 species
AUUGAACGCUGGCGGCAGGCUUAACACAUGCAAGUCGAGCGCGCGGCGGACGGGUGAGUAAUGUCUAGGAAACUGCCUGAUGGCGGGGGAUAACUACUGGAAACGGUAGCUAAUACCGCAUACCAUCAGAUUUGCCCAGAUGGGAUUAGCUAGUAGGUGGGGUAAUGGCUCACCUAGGCGACGAUCCCUACCUGGUCUGAGAGGAUGACCAGCCACACUGGAACGGAGACACGGUCCAGACUCCUACGGGAGGCAGCAGUGGGGAAUAUUGCACAAUGGGGGAAAGCCUGAUGCAGCCAUGCCGCGUGUGUGAAGAAGGCCUUCGGGUUGUAAAGCACUUUCAGCGAGGAGGCGUUACUCGCAGAAGAAGCACCGGCUAACUCCGUGCCAGCAGCCGCGGUAAUUC